UUCCACACCAGGAACUGGGCCAGCCACUCAGGUCACACUCCAAGUCUGGCCUCACCUUCUCCCCGUACUCCUGCUGGCUCAGGGAGGGGCUUGGGAGGGUAGGGGAGCCCAGCAGGAGCCAGAGAGGAACCCGGCCUUCCCUGUCUGAUGCCUCUCCCAUCCCAGUGACGGGGUCUGGGGACGCACCUCCCCGCAGCCCCAGGUCUCUUGCUGUCUCCUGUCGCUGUGGUCUGUCCUCAACUUCUACGGCAUCUUCCUCCCAAUAGUUAGACAUAUUUAAUCACCCCCGGUGGCUCAGACAGUAAAGAAGUCACCUGCGAUGCAAGAGACCUGGGUUCGAUCUCUGAGUCAGGAAGAUUCCCUGGAGGAGGGCAUGGCUACCCACUCCAGUACUCUUGCCUGGGGACUUCCAUGGACAGAGGAGCCUGGCAGGCUACAGCCCCGGGUCACAAAGAGUCAGACACGACUGAGCAACUGAGGACUCGCAACCAUCCAGCAGAGAUUCAGGCUUUGAGGAAAGGAAACUAUCAUGGUUUGAGCCAAACUGUCCCAAAAUGCAAGGUGGCAUCCUCAGUGAACGCCAAGGACAACGCUGCUCUUUAAACAGCAUGGUGGACUGAACCUGACAACAGCCACUGUGAAGCCUGACUGAUUGGAUGUGAGUUAAAACCAAAUUAGGUUGGCUGCUUUUGUUGUUCUUGGCACUAAUCCAUUCCAGAACUCUGAUGGUCAAAAGGAAGAUCAGCAACUUAUCUUGCUUGCUCCACUUAAAUUAAGCAAAGGAGAGCUUGCUGGAUGGUUUGGACAGCUUGUAACUCAAGAAGACACAGAGGGAGGUAACAGGUGAGUCUGGUUGGGAGAUCUAGGGGGAAGCAUGGUUUAAUUGCAGCGAACUUGAAUGGUGAGCUUCCACCAUUCACAGAAAACCACCGGAACUGCUCCAGCAGUGCAGGGACAGAUGGAUAAACCCAUCUCUUAUUUCGAAGUCACUGGAUAUCUAGGCCCUGAGUUUGUGUCUCUCAUAAUACAACUGUUAUAUUCAACUCUUUAAAAAAUGGUACUUUUUGUACGUUGGUAAAUGCCAGGGGUCAGGGUAGGGGGUGGGAGGGAAGAUGGGAAGUUAGUGGUUAAUGGGGACAGAGUUUCAGUUUAGGAAGGUGAAAAAUCCUGGAAAUAGAUGGCGAUAAGAGUCGUACAGUGUAAAUGUACUUAGUGCCACUGAACUAUACACUUAAAUAUGGUUAAAACAGUAUGUGUUAUGUGACUUUUACCUCAAUAAAAAAAAAUUGGGGGGUUAUAAAUGAUCUUUAUUAAGAAUGCAUAUUCUCAUGAUUCAAAUCCAAAUACUUCAAAGAAAUGGUAUUCCUAAUAAAAAUUGACAUGAAAGUGUUUUAAAAUUGUAAUAAAAAGCAAACAUUUAAAAGACCUUUGUCUCUAGAAAUACAGACUUUAAGGAUUAAAAGUAACUCCAAACUGUCAGAAUUAAAAGCUCACAUCGCAGAAACGCUUAAUAAGUACCGACCAACAGAUUACAACAAUGGCGGUGGUUUAGUCACUAAGUCGUGUCCGGCUCUUGCGAUCUCAUGGACUGUAGCCUGCUAGGCUCCUCUGUUCUUGAGAUUUUCCAGGCAACAAUACUGAACUGGCUUAAAAAAAAUUUUUUUUUAAUUGUAUUUCUCACUCCCAUGCCACGACUGGGCAGAAGUGGGAGUGAACUUGACCUCUUUGCCCAAGUGAGGUUGUGUGAUAACAGUAAGAAAUUUCCAGAGAUAUGGCUUCUAAUUUGACUCUGAUGCCAAGAAGCUAAGUCUCCUCACAGGGACUCAAGUUUCCCCAGCCAUAAAAUCAUAGGGAAGAGAAUGGGUAGAGUGAAAAGAGAGGACCCCUGAGUCAUGGGCUUUGAAAUCACACUACCUGGAUUCUAAUCUCAUUUUUCUAGCUGCAUGUCCUGAGGAAAGUUGCUUAACUUUUCUGAGCCUCAAUUGUCUCAUCUGUAAAGCAGAGACAAUAACAUCUACCCAUGGGAUUUGCUGCCAGGUUAAAUAACAUGAUGUAUACAAACCGCAUAGCUUAGUGUUUGGCCCAUAUGAAUUUUCUCUUUUUUUAUGAAGGUGUGGUUUACACAUAGUGAAAUGCUCAGAUCUUCAGCAUUUAACUUUGAUGAUUGCAUAGCAAGAUACAGAACAUUUCAAUCACUGCAGAAAGUUUUCUCGUGCCCCUUCCUAGGUAGCCCUUCUCCCAGUGGGGGAAAAAAACCAGAUCUGAUUUCUAUUACCACAGGUUAGUUUCACCUGAUUUACAAUCCCAUACAAAUAGAACUAGGCAGUAUAUAUUGUAUCUGUGUGUUUGUGGGAAUUUUUAGCUUCUUCAGCGUGACAGUUUUGAGGGUCAUUCCUAUUACUGUGUGAGUGAGUAGGAUGCUUCCUUUAUGGCGUGUAGUAUUUUAUCACAUAAAUGCUGUACAGCUUUUCCACCGUACUGGUGAUGAGCCUCUGGGCUAGUCCCCGUUUUUGCCUAUGAUGAGGAAAGCUGCUAUAAAUCUUCUCAUUAGAAUUUAGUAGAAGACUUUCAUGGACAGAUAUUUUCAUUUCUCUUGGGUAGAUACCUGGGAGUGGAAUGUUGGAUCAUCGGGUAGAUGUAUGUUGCACCUUUGAAAGAAACUCCCAAAUGACCUUCUAAAGGGGUUGUACCGUUUCACAUUUCCAUCAGUGAUGUAUGAGCAUUCUAGUCACUUCAAACCCUCGCCAACAUUUGGUGUGGUCAGUCUUAUGGAUUUUGGUCAUUCUGGUAUCACAUCAUGGUUUUAAUUUGCAUUUCCCCAUGACUAGUGAAUUCCUGUCAUGUGCUUACUUAGAAGAUUUUCCAAGGUAGUUCCUCUCCCCUUUGCUGCCAUGUAGCUUUCACCCUCUAUGAUUAGAAGGACUGAUGAACAAAUAAGAAGGGGAACACUGAUGACCAAAUCUACUGAAAAUGUAAACAGCUCUACAAAUACAAAAUCAAACAUAAGCUCAGCCCUGGAACCCCUCCGCUGACUUGGGUUUCCCAGGACUGGGGAGCUAAGGACUUGCUUUUCUUGAAUGAAUUGGGGGACAAGAUCAUGGCUGACUUGACGUCAAAUAAAUUUUUUUUUUUUUGCUGGACCAUGUAGCAUGCGUGAUUUUUAGUUUCUCGACCAGGGAUUAAAUCCCUGCCCCCUACAGUUCAAGUGCAGAGUCUUUUUUUUUUUUUAAUUGUAGUAUUAUUUUGAGGUUUCCCAGGUAGCUUGUGGUAAAGAAUCUGCCUUCAAUGCAGAUUCAAUCCCUGAGUCAUGAAGAUCCCUUGGAGAAGGAAAUGGCAACCCACUCCAGUAUUCUUGCCUGGGAAAUCCUAGGGACAGAGGAGCUUGGCGGGCUACAGUCCAUGGGGUCACAAAGAGUCAGAGACAACUUAGCUGCUAAACAAGUACUAUUUUUAAUUUAAGGAAGCUCAUACUAUUUCACACAGUGACUGUACCAAUUUAUGAUCCCAUCAAUAGUGCACAAGGGUUCACUUUUCUCCACAUCCUAGCCAACCCUAUUUAUCUAUUUUUGAUAAUAGGCAGACUAAAAGAUGUAAGAAAUAUCUCAUAGUGAUUUUAAUUUGCAUUUCGGCAGUCCACUCCAGUUCUAUUGCCUGGAAAAUCCCAUGGACAGAGGAGCCUGGUAGGCUUCAGUCCACGGGGUCGCAAAGAGUCGGACACGACUGAGCGACUUCACUUCACUUUAAUGAUUAGCCAUGUUGAGCAUCCUUUCAUGUACCUGUUGGCCAUUUGUAUAUAUAUAUAUAUAUAUAUAUAUAUAUAUGUAUAUAUAUAUAUAGUGUGUGUGUGUGUGUGUGGAAAAAUGUCUAUUCAGAUCUUCUGCUUAUUUUCUAAUUGGAUUACUUGUGUUUUGUUACUGAGUUAUAGGCUUUCCUUACAUAUUUUGGAUAUUGAUUCAUUAUCAGACAGAGGACAUGAAAACCUUUUUAGCUCUUUGUGCGGCGAACACGCGCAGAGUGAAGAUGGUCCUCCGGCGGUUCGCCAGUCGUCUCCUGUGGAACCUUACCCAAACCAGGGGGAGGCUGCAGCCUGCGCCGUCUUUGCACAGCUGCCGGCUUGCAGGCUCCUGAUUCUCGAAGGAGGGUCCGAGGCACCACGAGGGAGUUAAAACGUCCACCGGUGUGUUAUUCUUAAAAGAAGGCUUGAAAGCUUUGGAAGCCCAGACAGGGCAGUACCCCUUCACAGAGAUUCCAGGCUAACCUGGUGACUGAAGGCCUAAGGUUUAGAAUUCUCUUGGAGAAGCACCUUUGGGGUGGCUGGGAUGUCCAGGUGAUGGUUCCUGCCACUUCAGCAACAGGCUGUGGCAAGAAGUGGAGAGCAACAAGCAUGCCUUCUACCUGGGUACUGUGUUUUAGGAUUUUGCUGAUGCAGAGGAUGUCCUACCUGGUGUUGGUCAGAUCCUUGGAACUUCACAUGUUUCCUGCAUGAACCUGUGUGAGCAGCUGUCAAACUCCAGUGGAGAGGGGGUGGGCUGCUUAGAAAUUUGGGGACCAAAAUCAAUUAGGUGACCUUUAUUAGAAAGAUUGCAAUAAAAUGUUUUAAAGCAAAUAAAAAUAGGUGGGUCUGAGUAAAAACAAGAGGGUACAGAAAGGUUUAGGGAUGUGAAAGUGAAUGAGCAUCAGUUGACAUCUAGCUGCACCUCUUUCCAGCUACAUUACAAAAAACUAGAAUUAGGUUUGUCAUAUAUUGACACCAAUGUUGAGGAUUUCUAGGUGGAGUACCAUAAUAUUUUUAAUCUUUGAGGUUUUAAUUAUACUAUUAACACAAUCAUCCAGUGUUCUUUUUGAUGAAUUGGUGAAAACAUAGUUUGGAUAUAUUUCUAGAAGAAGAAUAAUUCUGGUGGUUGUCAGGAGCUGGGAAUGAGGACGUGAAGAAGUAUUUAAUGGGUAUUUCACUUUUACAAGGUGAAAGGGUUCAUGGGGAUGGAUGGUGGUGGUAAUUGCUCGAUGUUAUGAACAGUUAUUACCACUGAACUGUAUGCCUAAAAGUGGUAAAGAUUUGGGGAGGGAUAAAUUGGAAGGUUGAAACUGAUACAUACAUACCGCUAAGUAUAAAAUAGAUAACUAAUAAAGACCUGUAUAGCACAGGAAACUCAGUCCUCAGUAAUAGUCUAUAAGAGAAGAGGAUCACAAAGUGUUUGUAUGUAUAACUGAUUCAGUUUACUGUAUACUUGAAACUAACACAUUGUAAAUCAACUAUACUCCAAUAAAAUUUUUUUAAUGGUAAAAAAAAAAAAAAGAAAACCUUUUUAGACAGUUUCGCAGUUGCCUCCUCCUUUUGUUGUCUCUUUUGUAGUGCAGAAGAUUUUUGAUACUUUUCCUUUUUGUUGGUUGUUGGUAGUGUCAAUGAUUUUUUUGGACAGGAAGCAGGGAGUCAACCACUGGACCACCAGGGAAGUUCCCAGAAUGUUUUAAUGAUAAACUUGUCCUUGACUGAGUAAUCAUGCUCACUGCUGCCAUUUAUGAACUGCCUACUCUGCUCCAGCAGUACACGGUACAUGUAUUUACACACAGUAUGUGUAUUUUUACAAUAACCCCACAAGGUUGUUACAGGGUCCAUAUUCGGUGGUCUCUAAACAUCAGGUAUGGAUUUCUUUUAUUUAUUUUUGGCUGCACUAGGUCUUCCUUGCCACACACGGGCUUUCUCUAGUUACGGUGAUCAGGGGCUAGUCUUCAUUGCGGUGCACGGGCUUCUCAUUGCUGUGGCUUCUCUUAUGGAGCACAGGUUCAAGGUGCAUGGGCUUCAGUGGUUGCAGCUCACGGGCCCUGGAGUGCAGGUCAGUGGUUGUGGCUCACAGGCUUUAGUUGCUCCACGACACGUGGAAUCUUCCUGGACCGGGAAUCAAACCCAUGUCUCCCGAAUUUGCAGGCAGAUUCUUAUCCACAGAACCAGCUAAGUCCAAAGAUAUGAAUUUCUUUGCCUAACACCACACAGCUACAUCUCCAUGGGGUCUAGAUUCAAAAUGCAACAGUGGCUCCAAAAUCUCACUCAAGUUGCUUUUUAUCCAGCUAUGAAAAGGAAUGUGAACCUCAGAAAUAUUGGGCUAAGCGAAGGACAGCAGACAUAAAUGGUCACCCAGCGUGUGAUUUCAUUUAUGCCAAAUAUCCAGAAAGGGUAAAUCUACCUUUAGACGGAUAGCGAGUAGGUGGUUGCCUGAGGUUGUGAGGAGAGGAGAACCGGAGAAAUUGUUUAAUGGCUGUGGGCUUUUCUCUUGGGGUGACAAAAAUGGUUUGCAACUAGAUGGAGACGGUGGUUAUACAACACAGCAAAUGUAAUAAAUGUCACUGAACUGAACACUCACACAUUUUUUUUCCUUUGCACCAGGUCUUAGUCGCGGCAUGUGGGCUCUUUGAUUGGCAUUGUGGCAUGCGAAAUCUUUAGUUGCAGCAUGUGGGAUCCAGUUCCCUGACCAGAGAUCGAACCCGAGCCUUCUGCAUUGGGAGUGCAGUCUUAGCCACUGCACCACAAGGGAAGUCCCUAAAAUGGUUAAUUUUAUAUGACUUUUACCUCAAUAAAAUUUUUUUUAAAACCAAACACUUCACCCUGCCGUCUUUUCCUCAUUAAUGAGGAUAAUCUUACUACGAAUGAUUAAGUCCUUGGCGUAGUAAAGUUCCCCAGCACCUGGUCCCAAUCUUU
ensembl:lncRNA